GGACCAAUCAGCAUCCUGGGGGCAGGUCCUCUGCGGGUGGAAAAGUGGGAGUGACUUAGGAGGGAAAUCACCAGAAACCCCGCAGAGGUCCCAGCGUGGGAAAACGCCCUCUGCGCUAGGAGAGAGCAGCCACGAUGCCUACCUCCGCGCCCCACGGGACCCCUUUCCUUCUCCUAGCACCUCUACUGAUGGUGUCUGCUGUGCUGGCGGUGCCCCUGGACCGCGCGGCGCCCCAUCAGGAGGACAGCCAGGCCACUGAGAGCCCGACACAGCAGACAGACAGACCCCUGACACAGAACACAGACCCCUGACGCCGGAACCACAAUUGCUGACCAGAUGUCUUGAGCCAAUCAUAAAAUGAUUCCUGUACUAGUAAGGGUCUAUAUUCAAUCACUUCAAAGUACACUUAACCACAGCUGGAAUUCCCCUAAGCAGGCUUAAAAGGAACCUGUGAGCUUCUCUCUGGGUGGCCAUUUUGCCACUUUGUCAGAGGGUUUAACCACAGCAUACUGGAAUUUUUAUUCUCAAGAAAUUAAAUGCUCUUGUUGAUUGCGUACGUGUCUGGUGGUCUUUUGUGGGACUUCUCAUGGACCCUAACAUUGAUCAUCUCAUGCCUAGACAUGAUUAAGUGCACAUAUGACCAAAAUUAUUCACACCUGGGAAGAAGGCAGAUGUUUUUGUGUUCUGAUCAAAACAACAAACAAACAAACAAACAAAAAACCCACCCAUGCUGUGCCCCUAGCAAGCACACCUGUACAGGCUGGUCCCAGUAGAGAACUUGGGCUUUAGAUAAAGUCUCCUGCUGCAUGCUGUCUUUUGUUCUCUCUUCACAGGGUUUCUCUGUGUAGUUUUGCACUUUUCCUGGAUCUCGCUCUGUAGACCAGGCUGGCCUCGAACUCACAGAGAUCCGCCUGGCUCUGCCUCCCGAGUACUGGGAUUAAAGGUGUGAGCCACGACCGCCCGGCAUCUCUCUUCACUUCUUGAAGCAGGGAACUGAGAACAAAGGCCACAACUGUAGCAGGGCUAUGGUGGCGCAUGCCUUUAAUCCCAGUCAGUACUCGGGAGGCAGAAUCAAGGAGAUCUCUGUGAGUUCAAGGCCAGCCUGGUCUAUGGAGCAAGUUCCAGCACAGCCAGGGCUACACAGAGAAACCCUGUCUUGAAAAAACAAACCAUUCACAGAAACUUCUGUGAAUGUUCUAAACAUGCAAUCCAUCGGUAACAGGGGUGAGUGGGAGGGGCUGAGAUGGGAGGUUGGCCAAGGCAUUACAGAAACAUUCGUAUGCUCUACCCGACACUAAGUGUGCUCUGACCUUGGUCCCUACAUGCAUUGCAUUUAGGUUUGUUUCCCACAUAGACAUAAAGUGGAGAAUCCAGCUGAGCAUGGUGGCACACGCCUUUAAUCCCAGCACUCAGAAGACAGAGGCAGAUGGAUCUCUAGGAGUUCAAGGCCAGCCUGGUCUAUAUAGUGAGUUCUAGAACAGCCCCCCCCACCAAAAAAAUAAAUAGGGAAUUCUAACUGUUCUGACGGGAAUAAAGAAUCUAAUCAGACCUUGUGUCUCUCAAUCUAGCAGAGGACUGAAACAUUACACCCUGAGAAAUGAGCAUUUCCUCAGGAAUCUCAGGCUGGAAGAAUGAAAAAGCCCCAGGCAGAGGGAAGCCUUGUCUCCAGGAAGAGACUCCAUACAGCCCUAAUGCCUUCUCAGUUCAUCUCACAGAAUGAGCCGGAAGCACAGGCAGGGAUGUGUCAGCAGUGGCCUGGGCCACACCUUGACACAGACUGCUUGAAUGUGUGCCCCUCUGGCCUCUACUCAAGUUUUAAUUUCACUUUAGGAUCCCCAAACAGACUUGGGGUUCGCUGGGUCUUUUGUCCUUCUCCACAAUGUGGCCACAUUGAAUAAAGCCCCUUUUUCUGCUUUCCAUUAAUAAAGAGAAAAACAAUAAAACACUGUCAGGAGGGGGACUGAAGGACAGGAUCAUAACCUGCUGUGGGGUAUCCCCCAGAGAAGACUGACUGGACAUGGGUGUAAGCCAAGGGAAAGUCUUUAUUUCCUGGUCAGCGACUACACUGGGUGUUCAGGAUUCCACUGUAGCCCUGAGCCUUUCUCAGGAUGAGCUUUUAAGCACAAAAACCAUGUUAUGGGUUGACAUACUUCAGUUAACAAGAACGGUUAGCCAGAAGCAGAAUUGCAGAAGCCCAAAGGCAAGAUUAGCACAUUUAGAGACUUUCCCAUGUCUAUGGGCUUUGGAGGAUCAGGCCUUUGUUUUCAUUUUGUGAAGCAUGUGGUGUUGUCUACACGCUGAACUUCAUGGCCUGAGCGGCACUUCUGUCCUGGAGUCCCGCUGAGGUCUGGGGACCCUGACAGGACCCAGUGGGGAAGGGUUAGGGGAGGGAGCGCCCAGGAGCUGCAGGGAGAUUGCUGGAAUCUGCAUACAACCCUUUUGUUUGUUUUUCUUUUGAGACAGUCUCACACUGUAGCCCUAGCUGGAUUUGGAUUCUCAGCUUCCUGUAUGCUGUGGAAUUACCUGACUUUGUUGGACCCCAAAGUGUAGGGUCUCAAAUGGGCGCCCCAAGAACCCAGACUCCAGUCCAGUUGAUGCAACAGCAUGAGGAUUUAUUAAGCUUCUAUAUAGAAGGGCAAACUCUGCUCCUAAGAGCAAGAGCUGCAUCUUACUGCAGCCCCAUAAGGGCUUUUAAAGGAAAAACCCAUAAAACCCAUAAGAUUACAAUUCCCAUUGGAUUUCAUGGCCUGAUCACAGGGUGAUCACAGAGGGGGUACAGUUACGUAAACCUCAAGGCGGGUAUCAGGGCGGGAGUGGAGUUUACACAAAUGUCACAGUGGUCCUUCCUGGAACACCUGCAAAUAUCCCAGUCACAGUUGAGCACAUCUCUUAACAGAAAUCUUUUUACAUUGUUACAUUGUUACAGGGGUGAUUGAGUAGUGGCUAAGUCAGGUUGCCCUGGGAACUAGAUUUUUAGUUUCUCAUUUCCUGGUGCUUGAAGUUUCUCUCUUCCUGAGGCUUGGGGGUGUAAGCCUGAAGGGCUAGGGUCUUUCAACUUCAGUUUGAUUACUUAACAGAAUGCUGAGAAAAACAGAUCUUAGAGGACGGCAGAGACCAAGGCUGGGUGGUGGGGAGAAGCUUACAAGUGGUUCCUGGGGUCCCCGGCAGACCUGCUUUGUGACUUCCUUCAGGAGAAAGCCUCACUCCCCCAAGGGCCAGAGCCCUUGUUGAGAAAGGCCUGCCUGUUCUCAUAACCCCUCUCCCACCUUCCUGCAAGAAGCAGAUCUG